rnacentral:rRNA from 1 species
GAGUUUGAUCCUGGCUCAGGAUGAACGCUAGCGGCAGGCCUAAUACAUGCAAGUCGAACGGUAAGAUCUCGCUUGCGAGAUACACGAGUGGCGAACGGGUGCGUAACGCGUAUGCAACCUACCUUCAACUGGAAGAUAGCCCCGAGAAAUCGGGAUUAAUAUUCCAUAAAGUCUUUCUUUCACAUGUUAGAAAGAUUAAAGCUCCGGCGGUUGGAGAUGGGCAUGCGUGACAUUAGUUAGUUGGUGAGGUAACGGCUCACCAAGACCACGAUGUCUAGGGGUUCUGAGAGGAUUAUCCCCCACACUGGUACUGAGACACGGACCAGACUCCUACGGGAGGCAGCAGUAAGGAAUAUUGGUCAAUGGACGAAAGUCUGAACCAGCCAUGCCGCGUGCAGGAUGACAGCCCUAUGGGUUGUAAACUGCUUUUAUACGAGAAGAAUCCCCUGUACGUGUACAGGGUUGACGGUAUCGUACGAAUAAGGAUCGGCUAACUCCGUGCCAGCAGCCGCGGUAAUACGGAGGAUCCAAGCGUUAUCCGGAUUCAUUGGGUUUAAAGGGUGCGUAGGCGGAAUGAUAAGUUAGUGGUGAAAGCCCCCGGCUCAACCGGGGAACUGCCAUUAAUACUGUCAUUCUUGAGUAUAGUUGAAGUGGGCGGAAUGUAUCAUGUAGCGGUGAAAUGCUUAGAUAUGAUACAGAACACCAAUAGCGUAGGCAGCUUGCUAAACUAUAACUGACGCUCAGGCACGAAAGCGUGGGGAGCAAACAGGAUUAGAUAC